rnacentral:rRNA from 1 species
GAUGAACGCUGGCGGCGUGCCUAAUACAUGCAAGUCGAGCGAACAGAUGAGGAGCUUGCUCCUCUGACGUUAGCGGCGGACGGGUGAGUAACACGUGGAUAACCUACCUAUAAGACUGGGAUAACUUCGGGAAACCGGAGCUAAUACCGGAUAAUAUAUUGAACCGCAUGGUUCAAUAGUGAAAGACGGUUUUGCUGUCACUUAUAGAUGGAUCCGCGCCGCAUUAGCUAGUUGGUAAGGUAACGGCUUACCAAGGCAACGAUGCGUAGCCGACCUGAGAGGGUGAACGGCCACACGGAAUCUGAGACACGGCCGAGACCCCUGGGGGGGGCAGGAGUGGGAAAUUUGCCAAAAGGGGCGAACGCGUGACGGGGAAACGCCGCGGGAGGAAGAAAGGUUUUGGGUGCGAAAACCUUUUUUUGGGGGGAAAAAGAAGUGGGUAAGUACUAUGCACGUCUGGACGUUACCUAAUCAGAAAGCCACGGUUAAUUACGU